GGUAAUAAAUUAAUUUUCUACAUUCAUGACGGGUUUGGGAGUUGCGAAAUUUUAUGAAUGUGGAUUAGCAAGAAUUGCAAGAAUAACAAAUGAUCAUUUGUUUAAACCAUUAAGCCGAUGGUCACACAAUUCGGUUUGACGGAAAUCACUUCGGCUAAGCUUUAUAGAUGGUUCAUUCUUGCUUUUCUUGCCAUGAGACUUUGUAAUAUUUUUCGUUAUCCAUAAAAUUUAUAUAUUUCUUUUACAUCUUAACAAUGCAUGACCCUUUUAUUAUGAGAAAUGAAACUUUUUUCACCCAAUAAUUUAAGAUUAUUUAUUUUAUUGAAGAUUACAAUAUUUAGUGUAUUUGUAUUUUUUUUUAUGAGAUACAAUCAUAAUUUGUUUGUUAAUAACACAAGUUUCACAACAAGUGUUAUUUGGCAUUUGUUUGGUACUGUUUUUUUAUUGAUUAAUGAUUCAAUUUGAUUCUCUAAACACUCAUUCAUAUGUGUAUAUCUUAAAAUUUACAAUGAUAUAUAAUAAAACAUAAGACCCAUGCGUCUUUUGACAAUGCCAUGCCUUAGAGAGAAACUCGGACCAAAAUGCACAUCCAACCCUCUGUUCAUCCGUUGGAAUAACAUCUUCUGGAAUAGGUUGAGAACAUGCAAAGGAUCAUUAAAUAUUGAAUUCAUAAGUCAGAUUGAAAAAAGUGUUAUGGAACAUGGUAUUUUAUAAAUAUCUUCAUCAUAGUUGUCAAACCCGAACAACGUCUGAUAUAAGAAUGGAAGGAUGGCCACUAUAUCAAUAAAUAAUUAUUUUUUCAGUAAAUAAUUUAUAUCUUAAUUUAAAUAAAAACUACGUAUACCAAAAUCUUGCAAAUUAAGCAAAGAAAAUAAACACCGCUUGAAAAAAAUCAGAUAAGUAAUAAUUAAAUAAGGUACGAAAUGAGAAAUUGCAAAGGAUACUGACUCAUCAAUGA
rnacentral:lncRNA from 1 species